rnacentral:rRNA from 1 species
AGGGUGUAAACGCUGCAGACUUGGUGUUGGGAACCCUUCGGGGGUGCUCAGUGCCGGAGAGAAGUUGUUAAGUCUGCUACUUGGGGAGUACGUCCGCAAGGAUGAAACUUAAAGGAAAUUGGCGGGGGGAGCACCGCAACGGGAGGAGCGUGCGGUUUAAUUGGAUUCAACGCCGAAAAACUCACCAGGGAAGACUGUUACAUGAAGGCCGAGAUGAAGACUCUGCUAGAUUUUCAGAGAGGAGGUGCAUGGCGUCAGUGACU